rnacentral:rRNA from 1 species
AAUUAGAGUGUUCAAAGCAGGCAGAUAUUUCUUUUACUGCCACCGAAUACAUUAGCAUGGGAUAAUGGAAUAGGACCCUGUCCUUCAUGUUUCGCGUUGGUUGUGUGUUAAGUGCGCGCGCAAGUGCGUGGCUGGCACAUGGUGUUCGUCUAAAGGAGGACCAGGGUAAUGAUUAAUAGGGAUAGUUGGGGGCAUUAAUAUUUAAUUGUCAGAGGUGAAAUUCUUGGAUUUAUGAAAGAUUAACUUCUGCGAAAGCAUCUGCCAAGGAUGUUUUCAUUAAUCAAGAACGAAAGUUAGGGGAUCGAAGACGAUUAGAUACCGUCGUAGUCUUAACCAUAAACCAUGCCGACCAGCGAUUGGGAGACGUUUCACACGGAAGUGGUGCCGGGGGGGCGCCUCGCUUUGCUCCGUAAAAAAGGGCCGAGCAGCGCUCCCUUUGGGCUGCUUCCACUAAAGG